AAUUUUCCGCAAUGGGCGAAAGCCUGACGGAGCAAUACCGCGUGAGGGAGGAAGGCUCUUGGGUUGUAAACCUCUUUUCUCAGGGAAGAACADAAUGACGGUACCUGAGGAAUAAGCAUCGGCUAACUCCGUGCCAGCAGCCGCGGUAAUACGGAGGAUGCAAGCGUUAUCCGGAAUGAUUGGGCGUAAAGGGUCCGCAGGUGGCAUUGUAAGUCUGCUGUUAAAGAGUUUGGCUCAACCAAAUAARAGCAGUGGAAACUACAAAGCUAGAGUGUGGUCGGGGCAGAGGGAAUUCCUGGUGUAGCGGUGAAAUGCGUAGAUAUCAGGAAGAAC
rnacentral:rRNA from 1 species